UACGUAGGUGGCAAGCGUUGUCCGGAUUUACUAGGCGUAAAGAGCGCGCAGGCGGUCGGAUAAGUCGAAUGUGAAAGCCCCCGGCUCAACUGGGGAGGGUCAUUCGAUACUGUUCGACUCGAAGGCAGGAGAGGGAAGUGGAAUUCCCGGUGUAGUGGUGAAAUGCGUAGAUAUCGGGAGGAACACCAGUGGCGAAGGCGACUUCCUGGCCUGUUCUUGACGCUGAGGCGCGAAAGCUAGGGGAGCAAACGGG
rnacentral:rRNA from 1 species